AGAUUGAACGCUGGCGGCAUGCCUUACACAUGCAAGUCGAACGGUAACGCGGGGCAACCUGGCGACGAGUGGCGAACGGGUGAGUAAUGCAUCGGAACGUGCCCAGUAGUGGGGGAUAGCUCGGCGAAAGCCGGAUUAAUACCGCAUACGACCUAAGGGUGAAAGCGGGGGACCGUAAGGCCUCGCGCUAUUGGAGCGGCCGAUGUCAGAUUAGGUUGUUGGUGGGUAAAAGCCUACCAAGCCGACGAUCUGUAGCUGGUCUGAGAGGACGACCAGCCACAUUGGGACUGAGACACGGCCCAGACUCCUACGGGAGGCAGCAGGUGGGGAAUCUUGCGCAAUGGCCUAACGGCUGACGCAGCGACGCCGCGUGACGGGAUGACGCUCGUUCGGGGUGUAAACCUUCGUUUUGCCGUUGAAGUACGAAGUUUGCCGAGUCUUAGU
rnacentral:rRNA from 1 species